rnacentral:rRNA from 1 species
GACGAACGCUGGCGGCGUGCUUAACACAUGCAAGUCGAACGGAAAGGCCCUGCUUUUGUGGGGUGCUCGAGUGGCGAACGGGUGAGUAACACGUGAGUAACCUGCCCUUGACUUUGGGAUAACUUCAGGAAACUGGGGCUAAUACCGGAUAGGAGCUCCUGCUGCAUGGUGGGGGUUGGAAAGUUUCGGCGGUUGGGGAUGGACUCGCGGCUUAUCAGCUUGUUGGUGGGGUAGUGGCUUACCAAGGCUUUGACGGGUAGCCGGCCUGAGAGGGUGACCGGCCACAUUGGGACUGAGAUACGGCACAGACUCCUACGGGAGGCAGCAGUGGGGAAUAUUGCACUAUGGGCGGAAGCCUGACGCAGCAACGCCGCGUGCGGGAUGACGGCCUUCGGGUUGUAAACCGCUUUCGCCUGUGACGAAGCGUGAGUGACGGUAAUGGGUAAAGAAGCACCGGCUAACUACGUG